GAUGAACGCUAGCGAUAGGCUUAACACAUGCAAGUCGAGGGGCAGCAUGGUCUUAGCUUGCUAAGACUGAUGGCGACCGGCGCACGGGUGCGUAACGCGUAUGCAACUUGCCUCACAGAGGGGGAUAACCCGUCGAAAGACGGACUAAUACCGCGUACACUCCAUCUUGGGCAUCCAAGGUAGAGGAAAUGAAAUUCGCUGUGAGAUAGGCAUGCGUCCCAUUAGCUAGUUGGUGAGGUAACGGCUCACCAAGGCGACGAUGGGUAGGGGAACUGAGAGGUUGAACCCCCACACUGGUACUGAGACACGGACCAGACACCUACGGGAGGCAGCAGUGAGGAAUAUUGGUCAAUGGGCGAGAGCCUGAACCAGCCAAGUCGCGUGAAGGAUGACUGUCUUAUGGAUUGUAAACUUCUUUUAUACGGGAAUAACAAGAGUCACGUGUGACUCCCUGCAUGUACCGUAUGAAUAAGCAUCGGCUAACCCCGUG
rnacentral:rRNA from 1 species